UAUGUAUUUUGCAUAUUCACCUGUGUGUUAUGUGAAAGAGCAUUGGAAUUAUGUAACGUAUGCAUGAAGAUAUAUAUUGGAAGAAAAGUUUGUAUGCAUAGGUUACUGAUGGAAUAGAAGUGACAUGCUGAGAAAUUAUUAGGAAAUGCAAGGAAAUUUAUGUCCUGAACUGUGUCACAAAAGUGCUCUACUCACUUCCUGCAAAUGAAGAAUAUGUUCACUUAGGGCAAUUAAGUAUGGAGUUAAUUUUUUACAACUAUUUUAACUGUAUGGGCUGUGUUAUUAUAUUUGAACAAACUUAUUUUGAAGGGAAUCCCAAGGGAACAUCUAGGUAUCCCACUGCCUGCAGGCAAAGCCAGAUAUACCUUGUCACUGCUGGCAGAUGUCGACCCAAAUCUACUACUAGAAUCACCAUCGGUGGAGUCUGUUGGUGAUAGAAACUUCACACUGAUCCGUGUUAGUGGGUUCUAGUUUUACUAGACUAAUUUUAGAAGAGGUUUCCAAUACCUGAAACAAGGUGGUCUUGCUUGUUAAAAUUUAAGCUUUUAACUUACAGUGAAUACUGUUCACCAAAAGCAUGAAGAACAAAUGACUCUUUUCCUCUGAUCAGCAGCAGUCUUUCCCAUACUGGAAACUAUUCACUCUGUAACCACUCUGUAUUUCAUCCUGGUGAUACGUUUAUGACCAUAUUUUUACCCUGUUCUUUUAAUCUUAUAUAUGAUUUUGGUUUCUCUGAUCACUUUAUUAUCCACUGAAUUGGGCUAGGAGGUUUUUCCAUUGUCAAUGUCUAGAACACCAUGGAGUAGAGCAGAGGAUUUACUUCAUAAACAUAAAUUAUUUUGACUUGAUAGGAUUUGCAUCUUCUUCAGUAUCUUCCACACAUUUAGACAUAGUGUGCUGAAUUACCUGUCCCUGCAUUUUCUAGAAACUGAGGGUAGAAUGACAAGAACUUAAUUUUCUGACCCUUUUUCACCCACUUUUUGAAGGUCCCUUUUUUAAAUAAGCCCUUUAAUUUCCUUUGUUUUUUUUAAAGUCACCUGGUAACUGCUUGUCCUCUACAGUUUCUCAAAAGCAAUGACUAAGAAUUCUGAGACCCUUUCAAACAAUUCUGUGAACAUUCAGAGAGAAUUCAUGAGAUGAUUAUAACAAUAUCAUUUUUACAAAAAUUAUAAAAUAGAUUAAUUACAGACAAAGUCUUAUCUAAGCCCUUUUUUUUCUUGUAAAUUUUGUGAUGGUUGAGUUAACCGACUAUAUGCCAUUAAUGAUUGGUGCAUAGGUUUUAAAUUACUUUUUCUUACCUUUCUCUCCUUACUGCAUUCUUCCUCCACAAUGGGACUCAUCCCUUCCUUUCAUCUUCUUUAUAAUAAUACUAAGUUUGCAAUUAUUUUUUAUUAACCUUGAUGUCUUUUGCUAGCUGCAUCUCAACUUCUCCUUGACUUUUGCUACUUGUGUCUUGGACUGCUUUGAAGUAUUCAUCUUUCAUUCUUCUUUGACUUUGAUCUUCUACUUCAGGCCACUGCAGACUUCAAGAUUUAAUCUAUUUGUCUUCUAUGGCUUUCCCUAUUCUUCUGCUAUUACUGCAAUUUAAUCCUCAAUAUUUUUUUCUGUAGGGUAAAUGCUCCAAGGUGCUCAUAUUUCUCAUUCUUCAUGAAUUUUAUUAGACUGCUAAACACCUGUAGAUCUCUGCUAACAUAAGUACUGUAAAAGGCACAAACCACAAAGAUCCAGAGAGCAUGGCAGCUGAGAUGGUCAGCAUUAAGGACACAUCCAUCUGUUUAUACAGACAGCUUACGUACACUUCAGAAUAAGGCAUUGUUAUGUGGACCUGUCCAAGACCAGAGGCAGAAGACCAUCUCAAGACAGAUCACCAGAAGCUUUUAAGAAAUGUCUCUGCAACACAGUUUGAAAAAAACAUUAAUUAUUCUAAUCAUUGCGGUUGAUUAAACAGAAGUGGAAAACUGAUGUGGAACAAGAACACCACAACAACAAACACUACUGCUCUAGAGUAGAGCUGGCCUUCCAGAUUACCAGGACUGAUGAAGCUAUUAGGAGUAGAUUGGUACUAACUUAUAGAUUAUUGCCGCUUCCAGCCUGAUCUCUCUGUAUUGACCUGGACCUUUUGAAUCAGCAGCAAUGUUUCACGACUGGCAGCUUGUCUUAAUCAAGACAUCUAGGAACUAAAUAUUUUUCCAUAUGAUCAUUCUUGUAACUAUUUUGAUUUUUUU